rnacentral:ribozyme from 13 species
GACAGAACGAACUAAAGACGAACGCAAAAGAAAAAGAAAAAGAGAGAGGCGUGAAACUUUUCACGUCGUGGAACUUUUUUUUUUUUUU